GCAAAGUAACCAUUUACUUCUCUUCUACCCCAUUCCUGGACACAGGGUCCACAUUUUUCUACCUCCACAUCAGUUUAUUGAAGUUCAUAUAUAGCUGUUCCCUCAACAGGGACAAAACACAAAGUCAUUUUUCUUGACAAGUAUGACAAUGUUUUGUCAAUGCGAUGGCGGGUCACUAUUAACAAUGGUGUCCCACUCCCUUCACUAACGGGAAGAAAAAAAAAAAAAAAGAGUGAAUGAGUUUAGAAAGUACCUAUGCUUUGUCAGAUUGUAAGACUAAAUAGCCUCUUCUACCAUAAACAUGCAUUUAAAAAUCUUUGGAGCAGUGGUUCUUAACCUUUUUAGACUCGUUUCCCCUUACAUCAAACUCAAAACACCCCUCCAAAAUUGCCAGUUCUUAAUUUAUACUUGCCUUUUCGCUUUGUUGCUACAGAAAAAGAGAGUAAUUCUUCUGUUGCAAAGAACUCAGAAAGACCAUCACAGGUCAGAAUGUUUUUGACACUAUGGAUUCCUGUCUGAAACUCUGGGUUGAUCUUAGAAUCACGUGUAGGUGUUUGCACACAACAGUGCUAUUUUUAUGAAGCACCCUGCAGCACUUACGGCAUCCUGGUUAAGAUGCAUAAUUUUGAAGCGGAAAUCUUCCUGCUUAUGCAGUUCUAGGUGCAGCCACGUUGGGAACCUCCCCACUAGCUGGUUGUGGUGGUGUGUGUUUCUGCAUAACGAUUGGAUUUAAACAGACACUAAAUGUACUGUAUGCCCAUCCAAGUGCUCACUUAAGUCCCAGCGUAUUAAGAGAGUUCAGUCAAAUUUAUACAGAUGUGAAACAAGAAUACCACAAAGAGUUGAACCUUUGACAGUUCACAACAAAUAAGCUUACCGUCAAAUUCCAGAUGGACUGUUCCUCUUUCAACAAGAUCAAACAAGUCACAAAGCUCAAUUUAAGAUCAACUAUAAGUUUGAUAAUCAGGCUCAUUUUUUAGUCACUAAGGGAUGAAUUUAUUUUAACUAGUACAAGACCAAAAUGCAACCUGUGACAAAUUCAGAGUUACCUGACUAAAGUGUAGAAGUGAUUCUUUUACCCUGUUCUAGGCAUAAAAGUGCCUCCAUUAUAGAGCAGGACUGCCCUCUGAAGAUGCAUGGGUAUCUCCCUAUUCCUGUAACAGCUGCACUUAUGCUCCCAGAAUGGAUGAAGAGAAUCGCAUUUACAUUUCAGUUGUAUAACUGAGAUGGUCCCAAGCUCCACUGUGGUCAACUAGGUAAAGUAGAACUCUAGCCAAGAGGAAGUGGAAGCUACUUCCCAUUAAUCUGUAAUUACUGGCUCCUAAAUGCACUUAAAAAUACUGCAUGGUUUCAAGAGUAGAGUCAAUCUUGUGUAAGUCAACCCCACAUUUUGAGGCUCAAUUUUAGGGGAAAAAACAGCUCCCCCUAUUCCCCCCCCAAAUACACUGUAGUUACAGAUUAAGUCCUCAAAUGGCUACUGCCAAAAACAAAUCACUAUGGUCUGAUAAUCAGGGGGUCUGAACACUGGCUGACUUUAUAUUAAAAAAAAGUACAAUUUUUAUGCGUUGGGGGUGGGGAAAACAACAACAGAAGUCAGAAGAAGUCUAAGCAAUGAUCCUGAGAUGCAUCUACAGGUAUGAUGAUUCACUUUUUAGACUGGAAGCUUCUUACAGGCUGCGCUUUCUUAAAUGGCAAGAAAGCAUAGUAUGUGGUGGAUGGUACAAAAAACACAAGCAGACAUGAAUGCUAGGUUGUUCUAAUCCCCCUCCCUCCACACCAUCUCAACAUUUUGUGAAAAUGAUGGGCCUGUGAAACACAGAAACCAUGGGACUGUUCCAAGGAAGAAUGUAAACAGAUGACACUUAAAAUAGGCUCUAAAUCUGGCAUGUCAUGUCUACUAGCAAAUCUUUCAGACAUGUUUUAAGUUGUGGGGGAGUUUUUAUUUCAGAAAGUAGUGCUUUGAAUUCAUGCAAAUUGUCGUCAAAAAUCAAGUGCAAACUACAAGUUGACAUUUUCCAGUGUGCCCUGAAUAGAUUCAGGGUGUGCCUUCAGUACAAGAGUUGAGAACCACUGCUCCAGUGCAAAGCUUAAGCAGCCAAGAUUUAGCCCCAUGAGAAUUAAAAGAUGAUCUUCCAAGGAGUGUGUUCAGGGACACCACCUGCACUUCUUCCCACUGCUGGAGGUUCACAGGCUUGUUACUUGGGCACUGCUCGAUAGUAGUGGGCUCCCUUCCAACUUCUGUAUCUUCCUGUGGCCUGUUUAAACUUGCUGUUUAUCAGGCAUCCAACAACAUUUUCAAGCCAUAUAACAGUGUAAGAAAGAAAAUGUUAAGAAAUAACAGAAGAGACAAACUACAAAGAGAUGUGGUAGGAAGGGCUGGGAGGAGAAAAUAUUUAGGAAAGUAUCAGAGGGUAAAGGGAUAGGUGAGAACAGUAAGAAAACAUCAAAUAAUUUAGAAUAUGGAAUCUCCUCUAUUACAGGAAGCAGAAAAAAGGCAGGAAUUGAAUAGUGAAUGCAAGGGAAACAGUACGGUAUUUAGCAAGAUAGUUGGUAAGAAUUAAAGCUUUUAUUAUAGUGUGUUAUGUCAAGUCCCACCUCUAACUCCUUAGGCACCCAAAGUCCCAAACCUUGGGAAGAGAGUUUGGUCAAGUUCCAGUAAUGGAAAUUUCCGUUAUGUAAACCAGAGCGUUUAAAAAAAAUAUUCAAAACCAUACAUUUUGAGAGUUUCUGAAUGUGUACAGCUUCCAAAAGCAAGCAUUUGGCUUAACUGCUAGUACAGCUAUACUAGAAAAGGCCACCAUGAAAAUUUAAGGCAGAAUAGAAAAUACUGCUCAAAUGGAUGAUAAAAUUAGUCAGUCACCUUUAUUAACUUACAUUCACAACAGGAAUGUUGGACGGCAUACAGCCUACAAAACCAGCAGGUCCAAAAUAGGACAUUGUAAAGGAAACCAGACCAAAUCAUGCAAUUUCAACUCAGCCUAAGCAUCGAAUUUGUGGUGAGUCUAAAGUUCACUGUAUGCAACUAAGAUGACUAUACACCUAAUGAAAGAUCCAAGAAAGAACAUCCUGUAUGGGGAGAAUGCGUCUGAGCUAACAUUACUUUUGACGAGACAAUGCCAUCCUUUAAUGCUACGAACACAUUUUAUGAUCUACUAAAUAUUAAAAACAAUUUAUUUUUGGUGUAUGGUUACAACUCGAGAGACAACCACUGCAAGCUACAACCCUACCCAAAGCCUUCAUCUACAGGACUGCAAAGAUCUUGUGCUAGAACCUCUUGUUACUGAGCUGUCUUUAGCACAAAACUAGGAAAACCAGAGCAAAAAGGUCAACCGGCUGUGGAAGGGGGGCUCCAGGCCUAGAAUAAUUCAUAACAACAUCAAAUGUGGUUGCCCAAAAUAAUCCAUUUGUCUUUUGCCAAAAGGCAACCUGCUCAAGGAGGAAGGGGGGCGAUUUUUUUUUUUUCUUGCCAGCUCAGUGCAACCUACUCUGGGAUUUUCAGGAGAUAACCAGGUUUUGUCGCUACUUUGUGCCAAGCAAAAUCUAUCCCUUGUUUCAGUAAUGUGUGUAGCUGAAGGCAUUUUCCCAAUUGAUAUUUCAUAGUAAUAAAAUGCUGCAUUUAAACAAGACUUUGAUAUAUCAGUCAGAGGUUAUUCUAGGCUUGGUUUAUAGACUAGGAACAUGAGUUUUAAUGCUAACACAGCUUUUAGUUAGAUUCAGAGCUAGAAGCAUGUGGCCAAUUUAUCAAAAACAUAAUAAAGAACAGAUUUAAGCUUUUCCUGAGAGGUGCAGGAUGAUGAUUCACACAUCAUGGGGUCUUUCUUCCCUUAUUUCAAAAGUCUACUUGAACUGAAUUGGCUAGCUAGAACACCAGUUUCUAUAGGAGGGAGCACACAAGGAAGUAAUAUAGCUAGCACGAGAGACAGCCACCGUUGACUCUCCAGUCUGAAUAAAGAGGUAUCUAUCUGCAACUGGACUGACAGGAAGCAGCCUUCAAGAUGUCUAGAGUAGGGUUCAAACUCAAGGUCAUGUCUCUGGAGCUGCAGGAAGAGGUCUUACUUACUUUGCCACCAUGCCUCAGCUUCUGCCCUAUCACAUGGCACAACUAAGGAACAUGUGGAUUAAUUAAUACAUAUUUAGCUUAGUAUUCCAAUUAAUAUUUCUAACAUUAGCAAAUCAUGGUACAUUUAUUAGUUUUUGAAGCAAUCCCUGGUCUGAGACUUUACCAUUUUAAGUCUUGCCAAUUACAACUGAAUGUACGUUUAGAGCUAGACAUGUGGUCUUCUGUAAUGGGGCAUCAACUACAGUCAGUCAUUAGCAGUUAAGGAUAUCAGUAAAGUUAGAAGCUUUUUUCUAUGGGAAUAGAAGUUAAUAAAAAAAACAAACCCUCAACUACUCCAAAUGGGAUAAGAGUGAAGUGUUGCACACCCCUUUCACUCCCCACCCAAGCAGUGUUAGCUGGGUAGACUGAAACUAAACAAUGGGGAGUAUAGACAGAGAAGAGCUAUUACAAGUAGCGGUUAUGAGCCUAUUCAGGAUUUACUCCUAGUGUCCUUGAAACUAAACAUAUGCACAUAAACAACACAUAAUGGUCUGGAGGUUUGUUUUAACAGGCAGGAUUUUUUAUGUAGUCCACAAGUGCAAAAAAGGAUGGAAAGAAAGAAAGAAAGAAACGAGGCUUAUCUAAGCUAUCACCACCUUCUCUAAAGAAAAGCCAACUCAGCUUUAAACAUAAGACCUCUUCUUGGGUCUCAAAGACAUUUAUAACUUGAUGUGGACCAUAUGAUUUGUAUGAGAAUGAAUGUCCACUAAUAAUUAUUGCAGGAGGUUAGUAUUUCAGAUGUUAACUCACAUUUGAUUUGUGUAUCUUCAUUUACAAAAUAAGAUCAUUGAACUCUGCUCUAUUACUACUACAUUACAUGUGAUCUUUGGUUCAAUAACGUUUCAUGUGCAGUAUCCAUUUUAGGUGAUAUGCUAUACUGUGUAUUCUUUUUGUUUCUUUAGAAGUUAAUAAUCUGCUCUAAUUUGGCUUAACUAUGUAUUGUACUGGCUGUAUAAGCACCUUUGACUGUUUCGUGCAUCGUUUACCUGAAUUUGGUGCUUUAGUUUGUAUUUAAAGGAAUUAUACAAGUAAUAAUGCUCCAAUUAUAUUGUUUACAUGCACAACAGUAUUCCAGGACUAUUCAGAAUGAACUAUAUUGGAAACCAGGUUAUACAACUACUUCACACUAAUAACAGUAUUAACAAUAUUAAUUCCGAAUACACAUCA